CCCACCCCUCCGCGCGCGCGGUGGGUGCCUGCCACGCUCGCGCUCCCUGUGGGGGUCGGCUUCUGCGAGUGACAGAUUAACACAGGUGCUCGGCUACGCCAUACUGACAAAUUAUGGGACUCAUGAAAUGUCAGGUUGCAGAGUCCCUGUUCUGAAGGCUUCCUGGACGAAGUCGAUUUGUUCUUGUACCUGAAGCAGGUGAUGUUUCUGCAGAGACAUCUGAAUGACAGCGGGAGUGAAGGACAAAUCUAAUAAAGCCUAAUAAAGCAUGAGCGUUGAAAUGUCAUUAAACUUACAAAGAUGGGACUCAAAAUCACCAAAAAGGAUUGUGCCAGCUUUGCAAAGUAAAAGAGAAACCCAUUAUCUGAAGCUCAGUACUGUCUGAACGGAUCCUUCAAGCAGAUUUUCUACACCAUGAGUUAUCAAAAUGAGAGAACAUUUCAUGGAGG